rnacentral:piRNA from 1 species
UGCCAGCAAGAAGAAAAUUGCUCUGCCAUU